rnacentral:rRNA from 1 species
GAAGGUGGCCUGUGAGGGUUGCUGGAGGUAUCAGAAGUGCGAAUGCUGACAUAAGUAACGAUAAAGCGGGUGAAAAGCCCGCUCGCCGGAAGACCAAGGGUUCCUGUCCAACGUUAAUCGGGGCAGGGUGAGUCGACCCCUAAGGCGAGGCCGAAAGGCGUAGUCGAUGGGAAACGGGUUAAUAUUCCCGUACUUGGUGUUACUGCGAAGGGGGGACGGAGAAGGCUAUGUUGGCCGGGCGACGGUUGUCCCGGUUUAAGCGUGUAGGUGUGUGUUCCAGGUAAAUCCGGUUCACUUUAACACUGAGGCGUGACGACGAGGCACUACGGUGCUGAAGCAACAAAUGCCCUGCUUCCAGGAAAAGCCUCUAAGCAUCAGGUAACAUCAAAUCGUACCCCAAACCGACACAGGUGGUCAGGUAGAGAAUACCAAGGCGCUUGAGAGAACUCGGGUGAAGGAACUAGGCAAAAUGGUGCCGUAACUUCGGGAGAAGGCACGCUGACACGUAGGUGAAGUGAUUUACUCAUGGAGCUGAAGUCAGUCGAAGAUACCAGCUGGCUGCAACUGUUUAUUAAAAACACAGCACUGUGCAAACACGAAAGUGGACGUAUACGGUGUGACGCCUGCCCGGUGCCGGAAGGUUAAUUGAUGGGGUCAGCGCAAGCGAAGCUCCUGAUCGAAGCCCCGGUAAACGGCGGCCGUAACUAUAACGGUCCUAAGGUAGCGAAAUUCCUUGUCGGGUAAGUUCCGACCUGCACGAAUGGCGUAAUGAUGGCCAGGCUGUCUCCACCCGAGACUCAGUGAAAUUGAACUCGCUGUGAAGAUGCAGUGUACCCGCGGCAAGACGGAAAGACCCCGUGAACCUUUACUAUAGCUUGACACUGAACAUUGAGCCUUGAUGUGUAGGAUAGGUGGGAGGCUUUGAAGUGUGGACGCCAGUCUGCAUGGAGCCGACCUUGAAAUACCACCCUUUAAUGUUUGAUGUUCUAACGUGGACCCGUAAUCCGGGUUGCGGACAGUGUCUGGUGGGUAGUUUGACUGGGGCGGUCUCCUCCUAAAGAGUAACGGAGGAGCACGAAGGUUGGCUAAUCCUGGUCGGACAUCAGGAGGUUAGUGCAAUGGCAUAAGCCA